GGACUUACUCUUCGGAGUGAGAGCGUACACAGGUGCUGCAUGGCAGUCGUCAGCUCGUGUCGUGAGAUGUUGGGUUAAGUCCCGCAACGAGCGCAACCCUGCAUUCAGUUGCCAUCGGUAAGGCCGGGCACUCUGGAUGGACUGCCGGCGACAAGCCGGAGGAAGGUGGGGACGACGUCAAGUCAUCAUGGCCCUUAUGUCCAGGGCGACACACGUGCUACAAUGGCCGGCACAACGGGAAGCGAAGGGGCGACCCUGAGCGGAUCCCACAAAAGCCGGUCCCAGUUCGGAUUGCAGUCUGCAACUCGACUGCAUGAAGUUGGAAUCGCUAGUAAUCGUGGAUCAGCCAAGCCGCGGUGAAUACGUUCCCGGGCCUU
rnacentral:rRNA from 1 species